GCUCCCGCGACCUCAUAGGAGGGGGCGCCCACGUGAUCGGCCUGUCACAGAAACCGCGGCGGCCCAUCUUGGAAGAGGGCGGAAAGCCGCCUGAGCCCGGCCGGAGGAAGGGGGCUGGCUUUCUGACGGAGCACAACUUGGAGAAGCAGAAGGGAAUGCAGGCUGGGAAGGUGUAACAGCAUCCCAGAAUCCCAGACUAAAGACUGUAUCAUAACUACUCACAGGUGGCCGCUCUUCCUUAUUCAUCUGCCCAGUCUCUUGGUUGGUUGGUUGGUUGGUUUGGUUGGUUGGUUGGUUGUUUUGGCCCAGAGAUUCCCCACCUAAAUAAACUGCCUUGAAAUACACUAGCAAUAAAUUCAAGAGAUCAAAAACGUCA